rnacentral:piRNA from 1 species
UGAACGCACAGUCUUUCAGUUUGAUGUCCA